CGGAGGACAUUAUCGAGUUUUGAAGUGGGCUUCUUGAUGCUGGCAUGCAGGUGCUCAGAGGUCCCGCUCUCAUCCACUCAACCCCUGUGCACACUUGAGAGCGAGGUCGGUCGUCGGCGCAAGCCUUCGACUUGCUUCGUUUCUUAUUACAAACACUUUUUAUUGUCUUGUCGAAUGCAAUGCCUCGUAGUGGGCGAAAUGUUAAUACAACUUUCAACAACGGAUCUCUUGGCUCUCGCAUCGAUGAAGAACGCAGCGAAAUGCGAUAAGUAAUGUGAAUUGCAGAAUUCAGUGAAUCAUCGAAUCUUUGAACGCACCUUGCGCUCCUUGGUAUUCCGAGGAGCAUGCCUGUUUGAGUGUCAUGUUCACCUCAAUCCCUCCGGUUUGUUAUGAAUCGGCUGGGCUUGGUCUUGGAGGUUUUUGCUGGCUUUGCGGUCGGCUCCUCUUGAAUGCAUUAGCUGGGCUUUCGCUCGAUGCAACAGUGUAAUAAUUAACUUCACUGGUGCGACUUGCGAUAUGGGCCCGCUUCUAAUCGUCCGUUUGGACACGUUAAGGAUUCGUCCUUUGACUCCUUUGACCUCAAAUCAGGUAGGACUACCCGCUGAACUUAAGCAUAUCAAAAAGGGGGAAGAAAU
rnacentral:rRNA from 1 species